UAGCCAUGGUCCCUGCCCAUAACGAGUCGAUUAUGUGGACCAAUUUUCCAAUGGGCUGUCAAAUAUGGGGAUGGACUAAUCUGGAAUGAUUAAAGCCUGAGGGAAGAGAAUGAGUCAUUCGUUCGUUCAGUCGUAUUUAUUGAGCGCUUACUGUGUGCACGGCGCUGUACUAAAUGCUUGGAAAGUACAAAUGCCUCCCCAUCAGUCCGUGAAUUAUAAGAGCUCCUUUUACAUUCUUCCAAACACCUGUGUGUCCCACUGGGAAAGCAGCCGGCUGAUUUGAUUCCCUACGUUACGCCCUCAUUCUGAAGACAGAGACGUGAAGUAAACUGCCGAGUGUUCGCUACGGACUCUUGACCCUGAAGUAACUAAUUAUUCACUUCAGCUGUGUAGGAGAAUCCUCCAAAGCAAAUCAUCGAAGCCCCGUGUCAGUUUCUCAACUUUAUUUGACUCGGUAGUAGAUUGAAUUUGUGCCUUCCACCCUUCCUUCCUACCUCCUCCAGUCAGGACCGAGGAGAGAAAGACUAAAUCGGAAAGGUUUUGCAGAUGAGGUACCGGGGCACAGAGAAGCGACUCUACCGAGGUCACACGGACAAGUGGUGGAGUGGGAUUAGAACCCAGGUCCUUCGGACUCCCGGGCCUAUGCUUAAGUGGCUCUCCAUGCUGCUUCACUCUACCCACUCGGAGGGUCUUUCCAGUUUGGACGCCCCUACCGUCCCAGCCAUCUAGAGAAUCCUGCUCGCCGAGUCCCAGUCUGCCCCAACGCCAUUCGAGACUACUGCCUUGCUUACCAUGGUCUCUGACUUUUUCCCCACGGAUGACACCUGUAUGAAGGUGAGAGAGAAACACGCACAUAUUAGCACCAUUUGUUUUAAAAUGCACAGAGAGUUGGGUUGUGCGUAGAGGGGAAAGAGAAGUAGCCCUCGCACAGGGAACCUCGAGUCUCAAGGUCUUCUCUGCGAGACCCACGACCACAUCGGGAGAGGUUCAUUCUCUCCCCCUUCCCACCCGCCCAGCUCCUUAUCGACCAUCCCCGGGGCAACAGGACAAAUAGGUAGUGGUAGGAGAGCCCAGUAGCUAGAGCGGGGA